UUUCAGGGGCUCUUCUAGAUUCUUCUGGCCUCUGAGGGUACCAGGACUGCACAUAGUGCCUAGACAUACAUGAAGGCAGAGUACCCAUCUACAUAAAAGAACUGAAUCUCGAUGUCUUGCAUGCUAAGCAUGUGCUCUGCCCUUGUGCUCAUCCUGAGCCUAUGCCCUUUAUGAUCAGGUGAGAUCAAACCAGGAGAUCGCUAGCUAAUGCCAGACUUCGAUGCUCCCUGUAACUUCCCAUCCUAUGGCGAGACUGGUCUAUUGCAGACUUAGUUCUAGUCCAUGGUUUUCCUAAGGUUUGUUUUGUUGGGGAGUUUUGGGAUUCAUUAAGUUUUACAAAUGCUAAAGUUAAACUAAGUCCAGCAGCCUCUUGACUUGAGGCCUCUUCAGAUCUCUGACACACUCAACUUGGUGGCAUGCAGAGCUCUCCCAAACCCAGGACACUGUGUUUCCCUAGGAAUGAGCGAGAAAGAGCCGUAGCUAAGCUGCUGGCAGCCUGGGCAACAGGCUUGACAUACUGCACCCGCUCUCAUGGAUCAGAGCCUAGGGGCUGGGUCCCAGGCCAGGCUACUUACCCACAAUAGAAACAGAAGAGAAAUCCUUGCAAUCCGUGGAAGAGUUGGUCCUCAGACUCUUGUCAUCUCUGAGCGUCUCCUCAGGUACCAGGUGGCUGUAGACAGCAAGGAAGCACAGGAAACCCACUAGAGUGGCCAGGAGUAGGCGCGUGACGUCCAUCCUGAAAAGCCUAAAUUGGACAGAGGAGGUGGUUGGUGGUGGGUUCGGAGAGAAGAUGGCGGUAGGAGGAUGUGCCUUUGGGCUGGCCGUCUGACUCUGCUAUACAGUAUCUCAGCAGGGCCGGAAGUCUGGCAAGGCUGAGGGCAGGGAUGUUGAUAUAGGGAGAUGACAGAAAAGGAGAGAUGGGGAGAAGGGAGCAAGACGAGGAAGGGAGGGAGAUUGAAAGAGCACAAGAAUGCAUUGUGUUGGUCUGCGCUGUCCAGAGGGCGGGGUACUGACUCUUUCUGUUUCUUUUCUUUUUCUGUAUAAGCAGCGGUCCCAGGGGACCUUAGGCCUAGGCAGAGCUGUUGAAAGUGCCCCCCGCCCCCCAGGAGUGCCUCACAGUGGCAGAGGUCUUACCAAGGUGAAGAAAGUACAAGUUAAAAGUCAGUGAGAGGGAUGAGGGAUGAAGGUCCCUGAAGACAAGUGGAUGCCAUCUCAUACACCAGAUUCCCUGCUGGUCCAGAGGGAACAGAUGCAGGAGUGGACGGGAAGCAGGAAGACCGGCCUGAGGAGUGAUGCUGCGCACCUGCAUGCAGUUCUAGCGCCUGGGAGGCGAGGCGCGAGGCCAUUAUGAGCUGCACAGUGAGACUGUCUCAAAUAAGACAAAAGAACAAAAAAAACAGUCUCCCACGGCAGAACAAAGCAAACCGCCAAAGAAGCCUUUGCAAUCCCAGCAUUCAACAUGUGAAGGCUGUAUAUAGUUCAAAGCCAUCCUUGGCUGCUGCAAGAACGAGAACACCCAAAAGCCUCUAUGGACUGUAGUUUGCCGCCCUGGCCAAGUCCAGCUUAUUAUGGAAGAAAUUAAAACAGAACCAGAACAGCUGUUCUUGUGCUAAGGCCUGGA